rnacentral:lncRNA from 1 species
ACACAACCUGAAUAUAAUAAUAAUAAUACAACCCCUGACUAGGAUCUUGCCAGGUUUAAGUAUGAUUUAAGUCACCUGAAUAUUACAAUACCAUAAAUCUUAAAUCCGAAUAAACUCACUAAUUAUUACAAUACCAUAACUUAUAAUAUCUGACUCCACUACCUCAAACAUGCCCAACAUGGGUGGAGGGAUGGAACCCCGUCCACUACUGGUCAAUGGUCGUCUAGGCGGUCUCGUUCUAGGCAUCUGAAACAGUUAUGUAAAUAUUGUGCAAGGGUGAGCUAUGGAUCGCUCAGCAGUACCAAUAUGAAUAAAUAGAAGAUAAAAUCAUAAAACAGUUUAUAAGAGCAAGAGAAUAGAAAACAUGCAUGCUUCGAACAUAACACAGUAAAUCAUCAUUUGAUAUGAAACUGGAAAUCAACAUUUAUUAGCAUGCUGGAAAAUGUGAUAAUCAUAAGUUUUAGUUUCAAAAUUUUAUCACUAGCAUGCUAUACAGGUUUUUAUCUAAAACGAAUAUCAGAUAUAUUGGACGCUAACAGGUGAAGACAGCUGAUCAGUCUAUCAACACUGGACGGCUCUAGUCGGCCAUCACGAAAUAAUGUUCCGGAACCUAAAGACUAGCUAGGUCUUUAGACGCUGGACCAGGUGGUUUUGGGUGUGUAAACCACGCAAGCCUCUUACGCCACCAUGCUGGGUCGUUAUCAAAUAACGGAACCUCUUACGCAGCUCCAAAUAGAAAUAUCUGAUCCAUUUCCAGUUUCAGUUUGAUUUGUAUCCAUCCCAUUUUCAAAACCAUUACAUGAUAUUCAUGAAUCAAUACCAUGUCUCAAAAAUUAUAUCACAGGUUUAGCAAUGAUAAUCACUAAACAUUUUCAGAAUUUAAAUCUCAACCGGGAUAGAUAUUCACAAGUUACUAUUCCCCUAAAACAAUUUAAAAAGAUAUUUGAAUUCCAUAGUAACCGGGGAAUAUGUACUUAAAACAUUUGACAUUUGAGAUGCAUUCUUGCUCUACUUUAUUCAUAUAUAAUCUGAACCAUCGAGAGUAUGGUCAGUGGUACUUGCCUUGCUGAGGUAUAGGAAUCAGAUGCUAUGAAGGGAGUCGACUAGCCUUUCGAAAACUGGUGUCCCGAAACAGAACCUACAGGAUCGAACAAUCCUAAGUUAGACAGUCUCUAUGUC